rnacentral:rRNA from 1 species
AGCAGCCGCGGUAAUUCCAGCUCCAAUAGCGUAUAUUAAAGUUGUUGCAGUUAAAAAGCUCGUAGUUGAAUUUCGAGACCGGUUUACUGGUCGUGCUUUUGUACGUACUGGUAUUAUUGGUUUCUCCUUUCUGACGAACUAUAAUGCCAUUAAUUUGGUGUUUUAGGGAAUCAGGACUGUUACUUUGAAAAAAUUAGAGUGUUUAAAGCAGGCUCACGCUUGAAUACAUUAGCAUGGAAUAACGGAAUAGGACGUUUGAUUCUAUUUUGUUGGUUUCUAGGAUCGACGUAAUGAUUAAUAGGGAUAGUUGGGGGCAUUAGUAUUCAAUUGUCAGAGGUGAAAUUCUUGGAUUUAUUGAAGACUAACUACUGCGAAAGCAUUUGCCAAGGAUGUUUUCAUUAAUCAAGAACGAAAGUUAGGGGAUCGAAGACGAUCAGAUACCGUCGUAGUCUUAACCAUAAACUAUGCCGACUAGGGAUCGGAUGAUGUUAAUCUUUUAAUGACUCA